rnacentral:lncRNA from 1 species
GAUGGUGACGUAGGGAACACGAUUUAGACAGGUCUGGGCCGCUAGAUCGUGUAAUACCCUACGUCCUGUGUGUGGAUUGUAUUGAUGAGUUGUGUUGCGUUCUUUGGAGGGGAUUCCUGCCCGCCCUUAUAUACUCGGGAGAGUAGGGUUACAGGGUAGAGUCCUAGUCGAACACGGUUACAGAGUUCUACUCCAAAUCGGUAGAGUAGUUUCCUUGAGUAAUCCAACUAGUCUUCAGGAGUCCGUGUAGGCUACGUUACCUUGCGGCGUAGCCAAGUGCUGAUCACGUCCGAGUAUGCCCUUGGGUAGGUCGUACAAGGCCUACUCGUGGGCCUGGG